CCCCAUUUUAUCUACAGCCGUUGUUCCCCUCAUAUCCUUUUUGUUUCCUCUGCAACAUAACUCACAUCACAAAACAUGGAGAACCAUCUUCUUUUCCAAACCAAUCUCACACAAACACCUCUAGAUCCUUGCACCUCCCUUUCUAAACCUAAACAAACAUUAACCAGCUGCACCCCGUGUCUCCUCUCCCUCUUAUGAAGGCCGGUCGACCACCACCUAUGGUGGCGGCGUAUGGCGACUGCAAUGGCGACGAACCGCCAUUGGCGGCAGAGCCGCGGCGGUGGCGGUGGUGCUCUUGUUUUUUAUGAGAUUCAUCAGGUUAUAAUUUCAUUACUUCUGUUGUUUCGGGUCUCGUUUAGUUCAGAGUUGGCUUAGAUUUGUGUUCGGGUUUUGGGUUCGAUCUGAGCUAGUCAGCAGGCUCAAGUUUAUAUCAUUUUCUUUCAGCUUCGUGUUGUGGUAUAAAUGCGGUCCGGUUCAGAUUCAUGGCAGUGGAGGUAGUUAACGGUUGGCUCAGCGGGUUUGCUCGGAUUUCGGGUUGGAUUGGUUCGGUUCCUUUUGGUUCGAGAUUUGUUUCAGUUUUGGUUUAGGUUUCUGUCGUGUCAACUUUGGUCUUGGUUUGGGUCAGACUCGGUACGGUCCCUAUUCGGGAUCCGUUUUGGUUUCGGUCAAGCGGGUCAAAGACGGUCAACAUCGGGGCAGCUACAGCCGGAGUUUGCAAAAGGAACCAUUUCAUCGUGUUCGGGUGACCUCGGUGUUCCAUUUUCCUAAUCUCAUCAACUCGUCAUACUUGGAUAAUCGGAAGACUUGGCAAUUACGUUGUUAGACAAGACGAUGAAGAAAUCAAGUUAGGAUGGACUUAGAUACUCAUUCAAUAAUAAACAAUGUUGUUGCAAUUUGUCUUUAUUUGAAACAAUGUAUUCAAAUUUUAGUCAUUAAUGAAAUUGGAUUUAAAUUAUA